rnacentral:rRNA from 1 species
AUGGUUCUCCAUGACCAAGAAAAAAGGAACUACUAUCUGCUGCCUGACGAAGAGGACCCAGAAAGACCUGUCAAAAACUCUAUUGGAAAAGUGAUGUUUUUCACAGCGGUAGCAAGACCACGGUUUGAUGAAGAUGGGAAUAUGACAUUGUCCGGAAAAAUUGGGGUAUGGCUAUUCGUGAGUGACUGCAACAGCAAAAAGAAGCAAGAACAGGGAAAAAGGGACAUUGGAAACAAAGCCUGUCAUAGUGACGAGGGAUGUAAUGAGAGAGUACAUUAUAUGGAAGGUUGUGCCAGCGAUUCAAGCAUUGUGGCCUGCAGAUGA